rnacentral:rRNA from 1 species
AUUGAACGCUGGCGGCAGGCCCAACACAUGCAAGUAGAACGAGUGGCGGACGGGUGAGUAAUGUCUGGGAAACUGCCCGCUGGAGGGGGAUAACUACUGGAAACGGUAGCUAAUACCGCAUACCAUCGGAUGUGCCCAGAGGGGAUUAGCAAGUAGGUGGGGUAAAGGCUCACCUAGGCGACGAUCCCUAGCUGGUCUGAGAGGAUGACCAGCCACACAGGGACUGAGACACGGUGCAGACUCCUACGGGAGGCAGCAGUGGGGAAGAGUGCACAAUGGGCGCAAGCCUGAUGCAGCCAUGCCGCGUGUAUGAAGAAGGCCUUCGGGUUGUAAAGUACUGUCAGCGGGGAGGCGUUACCCGCAGAAGGAGCAGCGGCUAACUCCGUGCGAGCAGCCGCGUAAUUC